rnacentral:miRNA from 1 species
UACAAUGAAAUCACGGCC